CGGUAACAGCUCAAAUUUGAAAUCUGGCUCUUUUAGGGUCCGAGUUGUAAUUUGUAGACGAUGCUUUGGGUGUGGUGCCGGUCUAAGUUCCUUGGAACAGGACGUCAUAGAGGGUGAGAAUCCCGUAUGUGAUCGGUCGCCUUCGCCCGUGUAAAGCUCGUUCGAC
rnacentral:rRNA from 1 species